AUCUGUGAAAAGAACAAGGAAGAAAGAUUCAGCUUGACACACACCCCAGCUGUCUCUGUAAGAACAAGAGCUGUUUACUUAGGUGCUCCUUGGCCAGGAUGGUAUUGACUGUGCAGCUGCCCAGGCAUCACCACCUCCCUGGGCAGGACUUGAAGGCUGGCAGUCAGAUCCCAUGACCCCUGCAUCUCACUCCAAGAGGUCCACUGGCAGUUCAAAACCCUUCUUGACUCUCAGAAGGGUCAUGCCUUCAACCUUUCUACCCAAGACUUAACGACUAAUGCUGGGCAGGUAACAUUCCAGAUGUCUCACCACCUAGUCCCCCCUUCAGUGGUCUGUCACUCAAAGGACACGUUUAGUGACAUCUAUGCUCAUCUUGAAAAAGGAAUACUCUGAAACUAUGCUUUAAAAAAGUAUAUACAUAGAAAGUAAUACUUGGGGGUAGUAUAUUUUUUCUACUUAUACUUUUUUGCCCAUAUAGGAAAACUUCAAAAAAGAUAAUAUGAUUUUCUGGGCUACACAAUAGCAUGUACUAUAUGAUACUAUUUUUGAAAAUAUUGAUUAUACCUACAACAGAAAACAUCUUUGGAAGGACAUAUCAGAUUUUUGCUGAGAACAAUGUGGAUAGUGAGUGACCGGUAAGGAGAGAUUUUUACUUUAAAAAAUGUAUUUGUGUAUUCUUUUGUUUCAAACAAUACAGAAAUAAGUAUAAAUAUCUACUUUCUGAACAGUGAGCAGGUUCUCUCAGUAUUUCCAUCCUUUGACCAAUCUCUGCUUUGCUUUAGGUCUCCCAUAUUCCUGGCUUCCAGACUCCACUGGAGAAAGGAUGAAUGAAGAGGAAGCUGCAGGCUGUGAAGUGUCUAAUCCUUGCUCCCCUCCGAAACUGGCACAUGUUGGACCAAGCACUAUCCCCAUUUCACAGAUGAAGAAACUGAGGCAGCCAGAGAGAAGUGAAGUAGCUUGCCAAAAUAGUAAAACUAUAUUAUAAAUCAUAAACCCAAAUGCCACGCUCUAUUAUCCCAGUUUCCCAGAAGCUGGACAAGCCACGACAGCACCAUCCAAUAAAAAGGGAACUCUGGAGAUGCUAUGAGAAAAGAGGAACAGACAUCUGCAAUAGAUAUCUGCAACUUCCUUUUCAAAAACAAUAUCAGCAUUGGUUUCUCAGGAAGCCAUUGCCAGCCAAAUGUGAUAGCUGACACUGAGUUCCUGAAAUUCUCUAAUUAGGAUCCCAGAUUGGAGGGUCAGCCAGUGGUUAACAUAUAAUUGGCACAAAACUGAUUUUAUUGGAAGACUGAGGGUGGGCACUCACCAUGGUUCUAAGCGUUAGAAAAUCCACAAAAAUAUUACAAUUCUGUUGUGUAUGAGUUUAGGAAAAAAGGAAAAUCCUGACAAAAUCCCAGCCUAAAAAACAACGUUAACACUUGCAAAUAGGAUGGGGAGGCAGAGAUGAAUUGGCAGCCUUAUCACAGCUACUGGACUAUGCGGACUUUAACAAAAUAUGGGGGUGGGGGUUGGGUAGUGGUGUUUUUAACAGAGCAGGAGUAGAGACGGAUGUCCUGGGAGCAGAAUGGAUGCCCAUGCUGCCUGGAGCCUCAAGAUGGGAGCUGAGGACUAACAGGAUACAGGAGGGUGGGGACCUAUGCCUUUUCCAAGAAACUAGUGCCCCAAAACUGGUAAGCUGGGGUAUGCAUUUAGCUCAUUCCUUUACCAGAAUGCAGUCACCACCCGAUGAAAGAAAUGACUGAUGGCAGGACUUGAACAGUUCUCUAUAAAUGAGUUCCUGGGAGAGAACAGGUCUCCAGGCUCCACAAUACCCACCAAACACACUGCCUUUAGCCUGUUUCAAACUCUACUUCUUAUACAGAAUCCAACCCAACCAAACUCAGAGGUAAGGGUGAGAGUAGGCAAUGAACAGCUAUGAUCCUCCAUUCCUUGGCCAGGCAGGGAGCCUUUCCAUCCUCUUCCAUGAAACUGCGUGUAACAGAAAUAAGAAAACCAACUCCAAGGCUCAGUAACCCACCCAAGGUCAGAACCACUGAGUGGCAGAACCUGUGAGCCACAAAGGAGACUGAAAACCAGAAAGAGCUGCUCUCUAGUCUGCAUUAUUUUAAGAACAACAUGCCCAUAGGAGCAACCUGGAACCAAGGCUGUGGUACAACCUGGACUCAGCACACUCACCUUCCUUUCUAAUUAAACAUCAGCUUCCCAGGAGCAACAAUAGCCUGGCCCAGCAGAUGAACUGGAAUCAAUCUAAGCUUUUCCCCUAUGCCAGGCGUGGUGUGGGGUAGGGAUUUGGGUCAGUUUGGGCCCUUACACCUACUUAGUUUGGGCACCACUGCACCUGCUGUGAAGUCUAUUGGCAUCUUCCAGGAAAGUCCUACCUCAUUAGUAAAAAGAAAAAGACUUGGGAAGAAAGUUCCUGCUCUACCUGGUGAAUGCUGUUGUAUGAGGAUAUCAUGUUUGGAACAUGCCAGUCACCCUGUGAUCACAAGAAGGCCAGGCAUACCACAAGAUGGUCAUUCCAGUGCUCUGAAUCAGCCCCAAACCACUUCCCUCAAAACUCACGUUCUAAAGUGAUUAAAAGUGUGCUUUGAAGGUAAAACCAGUGACAGUCAACAGAUCAGUGACUGCCAGGAGUCAAGGGUAGAGGGAGGGAAGAACAGAUGGAGCACAGAGAAUUUUUAGGGCAGUGAAAAUGUUCUGUAUGAUGCUAUAAUGAAUACAUGCCAUCAUACACUUGUCCAAACCCACAGAAUGUACACCACCAAGAGUGAACCCUAAACUAUGGACUUUGGGUGAUCAUGAUGUGUCAGUGCAGGUUCAUCAAUUGCAACAAAUGUACCAUUCUAGUUGGGGAUGUUGAUAAUAGAAGGCUAUGCAUAUGUGGGACCAGGGGAUAUAUGGGAAAUCUCUGUAUUUGCCUUCAAGUAUGCUGAUAAUCUAAAACUGCUCUUAAAAAUAGUCUUACAAAAAAAAGGAAGUCUGCUUUGCCUUAUGUUGGGUCUUCAGUUGCCUCCAGCCAAACACAACUGGCAUGAGGUAAACCUUUAUUUGACAUUUAGUGAGCACGCCACAAUGCAGUGCUGCCACAAGAGGACCAACAAAGAAAUGGAACUCAACAACCAAAACCAUAAACAGAUAUCCCUGAUCUGCGACAAUGGGACCAGUAUCUUAUGUCAGGACCCGGUACACGUAACCACAUUUUGUGUAUAAACAAAAUAAAAUUUACAUGUAAGUUACA